rnacentral:rRNA from 1 species
ACAGUGGACGCGAGCAUCUGUGGCCAAGUUUUUAAGGGCGCACGGUGGAUGCCUUGGCACCAGGAACCGAUGAAGGACGUGGGAGGCCGCGAUAGGCCCCGGGGAGCUGUCAACCGAGCUGUGAUCCGGGGGUGUCCGAAUGGGGAAACCCGGCAGUCGUCAUGGGCUGUCACCCGCUGCUGAACACAUAGGCAGUGUGGAGGGAACGCGGGGAAGUGAAACAUCUCAGUACCCGCAGGAAGAGAAAACAACCGUGAUUCCGGGAGUAGUGGCGAGCGAAACUGGAUGAGGCUAAACCGUAUGUGUGUGAUACCCGGCAGGGGUUGCGCAUGCGGGGUUGUGGGAG